AUGGAAGAUUCUUUGCGGGGGCGAUCAAUCAGUGCUGCUACGACGCUGCCUCCAGCUCCUGGACCGGCGAAGAGGCGAGCUGCUCAGGAUCACCUGGGUUGGGAACUGAGAGCGUGCACGAAGAAGACCCGGGGCGGAGCUUAUCAAGUACCUAUUGUUGUAGCAAUGGGAUCUGCAAAAACUUGGCAAAUGCAGAUGAACAAGGAAGAAUGUGAAGAUAAUUUGAAGCCUAAUGUGGGGAUGCCAUUUGAAGGGCUGAAGUCUGUGGAGGAGUUCUACAAGUCUUAUGCACAUCACCCUGGUUUUGGGGUUCGUAUUGGACAGCAAAAGAAGUUAGAAAAUGAGCUAGUUCACUGCAAUGGUCAGAACAUGCAUGCUACUGAGUUCCAGUUGUGUAUGGUGGUUUGGAAGCUUGUUCUUGUUUAUGUAGGAGUCUGCAGCAAGUCGCAUCACACAGUUGUACUCGCUACCAACACAAGUCUGCAGCGUGUGCAGAGGUUACGGCCGUCAGUGGCCUCGGCGGCUGGGACAAUGGCGAGGCGGUUGCCUCGGCGGCAAGGACUGUCGACGUGCUGGACGAUUUCGGAGUGCAGAGGUAACGGCCGUCGGUGCCCUCGGCGGCUGGGCCGGUGGCGAGGUGGACGACUGCUAAGGUUGGGGCCAGCGGUUGCCUUCGCGGUGGUGACCGCCAACGUGCUGUACGAGUGCCGAGGUUCGUCGGCACCUGCACAGGGCGAGCCAGAUUGGCGGGGCCGUCGGGAGAGCAGCGUCGGCGGAAGGAAUUGGGAACAGAAAUUGUUGUGGCUGUACACGAAUGAGAUCAACUCCAAAGGGAUAAGAAUGUACUUAUCCUCUCUCCACGAGAAUAGCACCGGCAAAAACAACUCGGCCGCAAAGUCUACGCAGCUAGUACCUAUCCAUUGUGGUGCGACCCUCGCCUAUAAAAGGCUACGUGGCGCUGUGCCAAAGGGGCGGAGAUACACGGAGGAGCCUGUAGAAGAGGCCCUCCCGCAUGGUGCACUCGCACCAAGGCGGCCUCGGAUGGUGCUCUCUACGCCUUGGCGACGGGCGAUGACGCGCCGACGAACCGGCAUCCAGAAAAGAAACCCCGAUGGCCACCUCCACGGCGUCGAUGAGACGCUCGGUGGAAGAAACACUGCACUGGAGAUUGCAAAGCCUGUCAACCGGAUAACGAAGCAUGCAUACAAGGAGGGGAGAUCGCAUCCAGCGGGGAGACGGCAGCACAAAAUGCGCCCAGGAAAGAGAAGACGAGAGGGAGGCAGCGACUACACGCGCCGUCGGAGGCCGCGAACACCGUGCCAACAGACCAUGCACUCGCCCAAGGCGUCGACGAGAUGGACGGAGGAGGCUGAGGAGUGGGCGCGCCCGCGGCGGUGGUACACUUGCUCUGUAACAUGCACGCGGUCCGGCGAUGUCCGGUGGCAGCAGCGCAUGCGCCGAGAGGACGCACGCACGCAGAUCGCAUCAGGGGAACCACGGUUCACGCAAGCACACAAGGCCGCCGGUGACGCACGGACCGUCCACGACGACUACGUGGAGAUGAAGCUGAUGUUUCCAAAGGGACCGCCAUCGGAGCUUGUCUACACAAGCCCAUCAUCCUCUGGAGUGUCGCGAACUAGGUGCGGCCGGAGCUCGCCAACGACGCUGCCCGAGACCUUCAUGUCCUUGAAUACACAGGUCCCUGGUGCACAGAUUGCAACGAACAAGGCCGUGGCGGAAAGGACCAUGCUAAACAGGUGCAUCGCGGAUGGUACACCGACAUACAGGUCAAUGACGAACAGAUCACAGGCGUACAGGUUUUGCACCAUGUUCUUGGAGGAGACGGUGCGGCGAAGCCGGAGCUCGCUGACGGCGCAACCCGAGACUCGCCUUUACCAUCACGGGGUACAGGUCCUUGAUGGAACCAGUAGCCGCAACGAUGUAUCUAAGACCAGUUCCUCCUUUAUGAGGUACGCGGCCCCGAUGAACAGGUCGCCGGCGAUAGGUCCAGAGGCGCAUCCACAUAGUGAACAGUGGACGACAUUCGCGGAAACAGUGCUCACGAUGAUUUACCCAAGACCUGUCCCUCCUUGGGGAGGCGCAUCUACCAUGUCGAAUAGGUCCUUGGCGUACAGGUCCGUAAUGUUGCCGGUGCACAGCCCAAGGCGACGCGGCCUCUACAACGCCACAUUUCCACGGCCUCGUCUACAUCGACGAGCUCGCAUUGUGGUCAUCUUCAAGCAACGCCGCCACGCGGCGACACUCGAAUCUACUCCGACUUCUACAUCAAUACACUCCCCAAACCCCGUCCAAGCUCCGGCGAGGCGAAGCCACUUCACCGACAUGUCUUCUUCCGAUGAAGCUACCCAUAUCUUGCUGGGCACCGAUGAGGCGAAGGCAAGACACACCAUGUCCGACACCGACGAGGCGGACACCACCAGGCCGGGCACCGACAAGGCGAAGGCCGCCCAUCUGUCUGAGCUGACGAGGCCGGACAUCUUCAUCAUCGGACAUCGACAAGCCGGAGGGAAUAUGGCUAGCAUCGCCGGAGCGACGGGCAAACUUGUGCCUCAUGAGUGUUCACAGAAUAUUGGUCCUGCAUCAAAUGAUCUCAUUGGCAAUAUAAGUUUUAGCAGGAUAAAAGGUAGUGAAGCAAGGUUUCCUCCCAGCGCCGCCACCCCUCACCUCCUUCCCCCUCGUCGCCACCCGAGGUGGCCGCCGGCAAGCCAUGCGCGGUCGCCGGUGACGGUGGCGGCAAGGCCCUGCUCGCUCCGUUCCUGGCGGAGGACUCCAGAUCUGGGGCGGCGGCCCUUGGCGCGGCGGCGGCGCCCUCCCAGCUGGCGGCGUCCGUGGGUGGUCCUAGCCGGCGUUCCCGACCACGCGGGUGGUGGGACGGCGGCGGGUGGUGGCGGCGGCGUGGAGAUCCCCCUCCUCGUCAGAUCUGAGGUUCGACUCCCCUCCCCUUCAGCUCCCUCAUCCUUACCGGUUCCAGCAGCUUCGGUCGCCGGAUUGGUGUGGAUGGGUGCCCGGUGGUGCGGUUUUGGGACCGUGGGAAACCACUGGUCGGCUGGUCCGGCCCGGCAGCAGCGACGCACUUGGGCGCCGCCCUUCCUCCUUGGAGGUGCAGCUGAGAUCCCAACCCUAUCCACCCCCGCUCCCCUCCCGGGUGAAAGCCCAAAAUCCUUCUAG
rnacentral:rRNA from 1 species